CCUACGGGAGACAGCAGUAGGGAAUAUUGCUCAAUGGGGGAAACCCUGAAGCAGCAACGCCGCGUGGAGGAUGAAGGUUUUCGGAUUGUAAACUCCUUUUGUUAGAGAAGAUAAUGACGGUAUCUAACGAAUAAGCACCGGCUAACUCCGUGCCAGCAGCCGCGGUAAUACGGAGGGUGCAAGCGUUACUCGGAAUCACUGGGCGUAAAGGGCGCGUAGGCGGGAUAGCAAGUCAGAUGUGAAAUCCUAUGGCUUAACCAUAGAACUGCAUUUGAAACUGUUAUGCUAGAGUAUGGGAGAGGUAGGUGGAAUUCUUGGUGUAGGGGUAAAAUCCGUAGAGAUCAAGAGGAAUACUCAUUGCGAAGGCGACCUGCUAGAACAUAACUGACGCUGAUGCGCGAAAGCGUGGGGAGCAAACAGGAUUAGAUACCCCGGUAGUC
rnacentral:rRNA from 1 species